AUCCGAGCGUUAUCCGGAAUUAUUGGGUUUAAAGGGUUCGUAGGCGGCUUUGUAAGUCAGUGGUGAAAUUUCCUAGCUUAACUAGGACACUGCCAUUGAUACUGCAGAGCUUGAAUAAUAUGGAAGUAACUAGAAUAUGUAGUGUAGCGGUGAAAUGCUUAGAUAUUACAUGGAAUACCAAUUGCGAAGGCAGGUUACUACGUAUUUAUUGACGCUGAUGAACGAAAGCGUGGGGAGCGAACAGGAUUAGAUACCCUGGUAGUCCACGCCGUAAACGAUGGAUACUAGCUGUUCGGUUUUCGGACUGAGUGGCUAAGCGAAAGUGAUAAGUAUCCCACCUGGGGAGUACGUUCGCAAGAAUGAAACUCAAAGGAAUUGACGGGGGCCCGCACAAGCGGUGGAGCAUGUGGUUUAAUUCGAUGAUACGCGAGGAACCUUACCAGGGCUUAAAUGUAGAUUGACAGAUUUGGAAACAGAUUUUUCUUCGGACAAUUUACAAGGUGCUGCAUGGUUGUCGUCAGCUCGUGCCGUGAGGUGUCAGGUUAAGUCCUAUAACGAGCGCAACCCCUAUUGUUAGUUACCAGCGCGUAGUGGCGGGGACUCUAGCAAGACUGCCGGUGCAAACCGUGAGGAAGGUGGGGAUGACGUCAAAUCAUCACGGCCCUUACGUCCUGGGCUACACACGUGCUACAAUGGCAAGUACAGAAAGCAGCUACCUGGCAACAGGAUGCGAAUCUCCAAAGCUUGUCUCAGUUCGGAUUGGAGUCUGCAACUCGACUCUAUGAAGCUGGAAUCGCUAGUAAUCGGAUAUCAGCCAUGAUCCGGUGAAUACGUUCCCGGGCCUUGUACACACCGCCCGUCAAGCCAUGGA
rnacentral:rRNA from 1 species